rnacentral:rRNA from 1 species
CCUACGGGAGGCAGCAGUGGGGAAUAUUGCACAAUGGGGGAAACCCUGAUGCAGCAACGCCGCGUGUGUGAAGAAGUAUUUCGGUAUGUAAAGCUCUAUCAGCAGGGAAGAGAAUGACGGUACCUGACUAAGAAGCCCCGGCUAACUACGUGCCAGCAGCCGCGGUAAUACGUAGGGGGCAAGCGGUAUCCGGAUGUACUGGUUGUAAAGGGAGCGUAGACGGCUGAACAUGUCUGAUGUGAAAGCCCGUGGCUCAACCGCGGAAAUGCUUAGGAAACUGUAAAGCUAGAGUGCAGGAGUGGCAGGCGGAAUUCCAGGUGUAGCAGUGAAAUGCGUAGAUAUCAGGAGGAACACCGAUGGCGAAGGCAGCCUGCUGGGCUGCAACUGACGUUGAGGCACGAAAGCGUGGGGAGCAAACAGGAUUAGAUACCCGGGUAGUC